UCUACGGGUGGCAGCAGUAGGGAAUCUUCCGCAAUGGACGAAAGUCUGACGGAGCAACGCCGCGUGAGCGAAGAAGGUCUUCGGAUCGUAAAGCUCUGUUGUUAGGGAAGAACAAGUACGGGAGGAAAUGACCGUACCUUGACGGUACCUAACGAGGAAGCCACGGCUAACUACGUGCCAGCAGCCGCGGUAAUACGUAGGUGGCAAGCGUUGUCCGGAAUUAUUGGGCGUAAAGCGCGCGCAGGCGGUCUUUUAAGUCUGAUGGUGAAAUCUUGCGGCUCAACCGCAAGCGGUCAUNGGAACCUGGGGAACUUGGGGGCGAAAGGGAAAAGGGGAAUUCCAGGUGUGGCGGGAAAUGGCGUAGGGAUGUGGAGGAACACCAGGGGCAAAGGCGGCUUUUGGGUCGGAAACGGCCGCGGGGGCGCGAAAGCGUGGGAGCAAACAGGAUUAGAUACCCUAGUAGUC
rnacentral:rRNA from 1 species